UGGCUCAGAGGUUAAGAGCCCUGGACUGCUCUUCCAGAAGGCCUGAGUUCAAUUCCCAG
rnacentral:tRNA from 1 species